CGCGCAGGCGGCCAUUUAAGUUGGAUGUGAAAGCCUACGGCUCAACCGUAGAACUGCAUCCAAAACUAUUUGGCUAGAGUGUGGGAGAGGAAGAUGGAAUUAGUUGUGUAGGGGUAAAAUCCGUAGAGAUAACUAGGAAUACCAAAAGCGAAGGCAAUCUUCUGGAACACUACUGACGCUGAGGCGCGAAAGCGUGGGGAGCAAACAGGAUUAGAUACCCUGGUAGUC
rnacentral:rRNA from 1 species